rnacentral:rRNA from 1 species
AAUGAACGCUGGCGGCAUGCCUAACACAUGCAAGUCGAACGAAGCCUUCGGGCUUAGUGGCGCACGGGUGCGUAACGCGUGGGAAUCUGCCCUUGGGUUCGGAAUAACUCUCCGAAAGGAGUGCUAAUACCGGAUGAUGUCGAAAGACCAAAGAUUUAUCGCCCAGGGAUGAGACCGCGUAGGAUUAGCUAGUUGGUGAGGUAAAAGAUCACCAAGGCGACGGUCCUUAGCUGGACUGAGAGGAUGAUCAGCCACACUGGGACUGAGACACGGCCCAGACUCCUACGCGAGGCAGCAGUGGGGAAUAUUGGACAAUGGGCGAAAGCCUGAUCCAGCAAUGCCGCGUGAGUGAUGAAGGCCUUAGGGUUGUAAAGCUCUUUUACCCGGGAUGAUAAUGACAGUACCGGGAGAAUAAGCCCCGGCUAACUCCGUGCCAGCCGCCGCAGUAA